CGCCGAGCUUGAAGCUCUUUGCACAUGCACAUGCCCUGCUGUCUACCUGCAGUGCUCUUCCCACGCACGGCCACAGGCCUGGUAGGCCUUCCGGUUAAGUACCCCUCCUGCGGUUCCGGAUUCUGCCCUGGCAAGACAACCCUAGCUCCUCGUACCUGGCGCGGCCCGACCGAGCGUCUGCCACUCAGUUGACCUCUGACCUGUUAGUACCCGCCCCUGGAGAGCCGCAUCCGGUAGCGAGAGUUCAACUUCCUGACUAGGAGCCAAUCAGCGGGGCCGCCUCGCUGUCUACGACAGAGGGUGGGGGCAGACGCUCCCUUUCCGGUGGCAGCGUCUGGGGAAAGGGCGGUAGGCGCCAUGUCCGGCCGCGAAGGUGGCAAGAAGAAGCCACUGAAACAGCCCAAGAAGCAGGCCAAGGAGAUGGACGAGGAAGAUAAGGCUUUCAAGCAGAAACAAAAAGAGGAGCAGAAGAAACUCGAGGAGCUAAAAGCGAAGGCGGCGGGGAAAGGGCCCUUGGCCACAGGUGGAAUUAAGAAAUCUGGCAAAAAGUAAGCUAUUCCUUGUACCUGAGGAGAUGGUGACCCUUUAUUUCAUCCGUAUUUAAACCUCUCUAUUCCCUGCCAUAACAUCUUUUGCCACGUAUAGCUGGAAUUAAGUGUUGUCUUGGAGCUGUUGUACAUUUAAGAAUAAACUUUUGUAAAAAAAAAAAAAAAAAAUCUUAACAGUGGCUCAUCAUCUCUUUAGUUGUUUUCACUAAGUCAUUCCUACCAUAACUGUGAAUUUAAAAGUAAAACCAGCUCAGAAUCUUGCCAGAGUCUGCUCUUUGAUCCUUGUUCUACCCUAAACUUUGUAUCACUUGAAAUUAAACCAACUGAUUUGAAA